GGCAUAUCAAUUUGGUUCAGAGCUAAACAGUUUAAAUAAUAAUAAAGAAUUCAAAAUUUCUUCAAAAAUUCUAAGUUUACAUCCAUUUAUUGAUCAGGAUAAAAUUAUCAGACUAGGCGGUAGAUUACAAAAUUACAAUGCUAGAUUCGAGAUAAAACAUCCAAUUAUUCUCGACAAAGGGCAUAUUUCUUUAUUAAUUAUUGAGGAUGCUCAUAACCAAACCUCACAUGGUGGAAUAAAUUUGAUGAGAACAUACAUUCAAAGAAAAUAUUGGAUAUUUGGGUUGAAAAAUUCAUUAAAGAAAAAAUUAAAUGAGCGCAGCAAGAAAAUUAGACGAAGAGUUAGCGAAAGCAAUUAAAAAAAAUUCAGCGGUGGCAAAUCAACUCGGAAAAGAAGGGAUUGAGUGGCAUUUUAUCCCCCUGGCAGGACCUCACUUUAGAGGUAUCUGGGAGGCCGGCGUAAAAUCUAUGAAAGAUCACCUAAAACGGGUGAUUGGUGACGGAAACUUAACAUGCGAAGAUGUCAACACUUUUAUGCCAAAUAGAAGGAGUGUAGAAUCCACGACCCCUAUACUUAUCAGAUAAUGAUAUAGAGGAAAAUGAAGUACUUACACCUGGACACUUUUUGAUACGACGACCAACGUUAGAUGUGAUUGAGCCCAUAAAUGAAAAAGAAAAAAUAGGUAACUUGGAUAGGUAGAAAUUAAUCCAAAAAAUUAAAAAUAUUUUUGGAUAAAAUGGAAAGAUGACUCUUGCAUACCCUACAACAGAGGCAUAAAUGGAAAAGGAAUAGCCCCAAUAUAGAAAAGGGACAGGUAGUUCUAAUAAAGGAUGAAAAUUGUCAUCCAUUAAGAUGGCCGUUAGGAAAAGUCCAAGAAGUGUAUAAGGGUAAGACGAGAAAGUUCGGGUAAUAAAAGUCAAGCUGCAGGACGCAUGCAUUUCCCGACCGAUUACCAAGGCUUGCCCUCUUGUAGGAAUCAAGGCUGUCGAAGAUAAUGAAGAAGAAUCUCAACCCAAAAGGAUAACUAGGGGUGGAUCUAGGAUAUCCAAGCUGGGAUUAAUAAUGAGUAUGCUAAUGUUAAUGAUGUUUUGUCAGCUGUCAAAUGCAUCACUCACCGUUGAAAAUACGCCUAAGUAUUAAAUUGAAAAAAUAAAUAAAACGUCAGCAAUAUAUUUGGAUCCAAUGGGUAGAAGUAGAAAUUGUCUCGUCCUCUUGGAAUUUGGUUGUUUUCUAUAAUAUGGUUGCUUAUUUUGAAAUGAUAAGCAAAGGAAGCGUUCUAGUGAACAAGAUGAGACUGGUGUGUGAAAAACUUCAUAGUUUCGAAGAUCAGUGUAAAUUUGUUCUAGACAAUACUUUAAAAUAAUAAAUUAUUCAUGGCACAUAGUAA